rnacentral:rRNA from 1 species
UCCGUAGGAUGAACCUUCCGUAGGAUGNAACCAUGACGGAAGGAUCAUUA